CAUUCUAAGUUCUACAACUGCAUUUUUGGAAGAUAGGCUGUGAAAUGGACAGCAGCAUGAGAGCCUUCCAGCUUCGAGCUGUGCGACUGUUCAGAAAACAGAGGGAGAUGACCAAAUAGAAGGCAUCUGGGCUCAUAGGUCAGAAGAGCUGAUAGGUCUCUUUGGUGAAAGGAAGUGCAGUGGCCAAGACACAAAAAGGAAGGGAAGCAGAAGUAUCACAUUUGAGUUUCAAGUGAGGCUCUACAAAGAACACAUUGUUUAUUCUUGUGUAAAAACGUCAUGUAAAGAAGCUCUCUGUCAGCAAAAUAUUGUGUUGCUUAAUACUACAUACUGUGGGUGCUCAAUGAAUGUCUGUUGAGUGGAUAACUAUAUUGUUGCUGUUGUAAGUAUUACCAUUCUACUUUCAAAAAAUGCUUAAAAGAUUCCAAUUACCAGGAGUAGCUUAGAAAAACAUUUUAAGUGUUGAUUGACCAGUAGAAGUCUCUGAAGAGUUUAUUUCACUCUAGAGCAGUUGCCUAAACCAUGAACUAUAAGCUAAUAGUAUUCACAGGAGAGAGACUUUGUCUAUUUGCCUAGACUGUCUGUGAUAUUAGCUAUGCAAAUAAAUAUUUUGAUUGUUCAUUUGGGAGAAGAGGAUUACUUGAUGACUGUCUUGAAGUAUAUGCAGGCUUGUUAUGAGGAGGAGGAUGACUUAAUUUUUUUUCUCCAUUGCACUGCUGGUUCAAUGAGGAAAAGUACUUAAUAUUGUAUUAACAGUGGAAGAUAAGAAUUUCUUUGCUGGAAUUAAGGAACAUUGUGGAAACUCCCGUUUUGCAGAUGUGACUAAAUGACAUCAAAACUCUUGUUUUCACCUUCAAGUCCAUGAAAUUCAAAAAGAUGUCAUCACAGUGACCAACUGCCACCAAAACAGAGGCUGUUGAAUUUGGCAUUACAUUCCCUAGUUACUAAAUUCAGAUAACAAACAGCAGAUACAUUCUAUUAAUAUAGGACCAUCUUGGGCUCUGCUAAAGAAUCACAGUAUUUUCCUUGCAGUUAUAUCUCACUGGGAAGACAGACCCAGAAAAAGUUAAGUUCUAGUAAAAGGCAGAGUGAUAUAAAUUAACAGAGGAGAGAAUUCAAAGGAGUCAGGAGUUGGAGAGGAGUAUGGAAAGUCAUGCAGGCAAGGGGAACUGCAUGUAUAAAGUCAUAUGGUGUUGACAUAUGUGCCAGGUAUAUUUGAGAGGUAACAGACCACAUAGGGUAUAUACCAGCUCCGAGGAAGAAAACAUUUAUAAACAUUCACUAGGCACUUAUGAUAAUGCCAAGCUCUUUGCUAGACCCAGUACAUGCAUUUUCUCAUUCAAUUCUCAUAAUAACUCUAACAUAUAUAUACUAGUAACAUCUCAGUGUACAGUUGAUAAAACUAAGGCACAAAGAAGGUAAGUGACUCAGCUAAGAUCACAGCUAAUGAUGGAGCAGGGAAUCUAGGUUGUCAGACUUCAGCUAUUGGAACUAAAAUUUAAUUCCAGAAACAUUAGUAAUCACUUCCCAAAGGCAAGGUACAAACUGAGGUAGGAAUUGUAAGGCUUGAAAGCAGAGAAAUGUCUUCUUCAGCAAUACAUUCAUAUAAGGCUGAAACCUGUAGGUAUUUUGCAAGCAUCCGUGAAUGAAAAGGCUAUUUUCAAGGAGUAUAUACUGUGGUAGGAAAAACAGACAUGCAUAAAUGACUACAACAUGUAGGUACUAAUGGAUUAGAUUGCAUAAAAAACUGAGGGGAGAGAAAGUUAUCCUAUAAGCAGUGAGGAGGCAUUGAGGUUUUAGAGUAGGAGAGUGACAUAAUGAAAGCUUAUUACUGAAAACUAAUCUGCUGACUGGGUGCUACUUGUUUCCUUAUUGUCAGCAACACUAAGCCACUUGGAACUCCCAAGUAAGUAAGUGGUGAUACAAAAGGAGAAAAUACUUCUCUUUCUCAUGUCCUGCUCACCAAAAUUCUGCUAAAUUGGUUUAGAUGCUGGAACAAUAAACUGGAGUAAGAGCAGAAGCCUAAAAUCUGAAGGUGUGCUGAUGCUUUGUCCAAUCACUAUUGUUUCUAAGAAUAUAAGGGGUAGGGUAAGGGAAGGGUAGAGAGCUAGACAGAUUGUAUGUUGCAAAUAUUUAAGAGAGGUAAGACCUGAGGUCACUCACAUAUGGCUGUUUUAUUAGAAUUAUCCAUUCAUUUGGGACGCCUGGGUGGCUCAGCAGUUGAGCGUCUGCCUUCUGCUCAGGGUGUGAUCCCGGGGUCCAGGAU